UCUGUUUGUUCAGACAAUCUGAAUCUCGAAAUGAUGGAAAGAUGCCUGCAGCCUCCUUGGAUGGAAUAACUGAGAUACUGUCUGUGAACUGCAUGCAAAGGAACACCACGAGCACAAGCAGUAGGCAGAAUUUGAGAUUUGUGAGCAGAGAAAAGGAAUCCAUGCUGCCCCUGCAAGUACACCAACAUUACCAGGCAUGGAAAACUCAGUUGUUUGCUUAAAAAUGAAGACGUCAUGACACCUAGUGGUGAAUUAAACAAGAAGAACUUCAGUUUCCUAAAGAACUCGCUGCUGUUUUCCAUCAUCAUGUUGUUCUCAUUCAUAUUGCAGUAUGAGAGAUGUGGGCAUUACCCUCACGAAUCUGAACAUCCAGGCAGCCACUCUUCUUUUACAGUCCAAUGCAACGCCCGUGUUUUGUUGCAUGUGACUCCUGCUCCUCUCCACAGAAGGCCACGUUCAAUAAGGCCCAGCAUGCAGUCAGUCCCCCCCCGGCCAUGUUCCUCACUGAACAUGACAUUUUGAAUGGCCAUUUAUACUGAAAUCAACUAAGUGCUUUGACUUUAGAGGAAAAGGGAGCAUGGUAGAGUCUUGGCAUAAGACCAAAUGGGAAUUUCAGUCUUUUUUCUCUUGUUAAGGACAUAUUAAUCAAGUCUGUUUUUAGAAGGUGACUCAAGACUGUAUUGUAUGGCAUGCAGCAAAUUCCUGGCAGGCAGCUAAAUCUGACUCAGUUGCUGGCAAAUUCUUCUGCUUUUGAAGACUACUUAGACUCUGCCUUGGUCAGCAGCAGUCAAAAAGCUCAUACUGGCUGUGAUACCAUGACAAGAAGUUGCACUGAAAAGCAGUAAGCCAGUCUAGACAUGUGCAAAAAAAAAAACAAAAAACAA